rnacentral:rRNA from 1 species
AUUGAACGCUGGCGGCAGGCCUAACACAUGCACGUCGAGCGAGCGGCGGACGGGUGAGUACUGUAUGGGGACUGCCCGAUAGAGGUGGAUAACGACUGGAAACGGUAGCUAAUCACGCAUACUAUCGGAUAACCCAUAUGGGAUUAGCUAGUAGGUGAGGUAAUGGCUCACCUAGGGAACGCUCCCUAGCUGGUCUGACAGGAUGAUCAGCCACACGGGGACUGAGACACGGCCCAGACUCCUACGGAGGCAGCAGUGGGGAAUAUUGCACAAUGGGCGCAAGCCUGAUGCAGCCAUGCCGCGUGUAUGAAGAAGGCCUUAGGGUUGUAAAGUACUUUCAGUCGGGAGGCGUUACCGACAGAAGAAGCACCGGCUAACUCCGUGCCAGCAGCCGCGGUAAUAC